rnacentral:rRNA from 1 species
AAAUGAAUUGACGGGGACCCGCACAAGCGGUGGAGCAUGUGGUUUAAUACGACGCUACGCGUGGAACCUUACCACGGCUUGACAUGUAUUUGAAAUCGUGGUGAAAGCCAUGACCUGUCCUAAAGACACAAUUACACAGGUGUUGCAUGGCUGUCGUCAGCUCGUGUCGUGAGAUGUUGGGUUAAGUCCCGCAACGAGCGCAACCCUCGUGUUUAGUUGCUAAUCCGUAAGGAUGCACUCUAGACAGACUGCCAGUGUUUAACUGGAGGAAGGUGGGGACGACGUCAAGUCAGUACGGCCCUUAUGCCGUGGGCUACACACGUGCUACAAUCCCCGCUACAAAGAGACGCAAACCCGCAAGGGGGAGCAAAUCUCAAAAAAGCGGGGCCAGUUCAGAUUGAGGGCUGCAAUUCGCCCUCAUGAAGCCGGAAUCGCUAGUAAUCGCGCAUCAGACACGGCGCGAUGAAUACGUUCCCGGGUCUUGUACACACCGCCCGU